AGUUGCGGUGUUUAUGUCUGAACUUCGUCGUAAAUAUUAUAAAAUGUGCGUGACAAAAGCCGUUCCACAAGUGGUAAUGAUUUAGAACCAUUGUCUUAAUUGGAUCGUAAUGCCCGUAAAUUUAUUAAUAAACAUCAACUUCAGGAACAGGACCCGGUGAAUCGGAUAUAUUAUACAAAACAAAAAUUAUUUUACGACCCAUUAAUCCUCGAACAACUGCGGUGAAUGGUGAAGGGUAAACUAUAUAAACGGCAAUUUUUUCUUUGUUU